GCUGAUGUAGCUCAGCCGGUAGAGCGCAUCCUUGGUAAGGAUGAGGUUCACGAGUUCGAUUCUCGUCAUCAGCUCCA
rnacentral:tRNA from 2 species